CACACCACUGGUCAAGAGGAUAUCAGAAGCAAGAGAAAGUGCAAAUCUGCUCACUAAAAAGUCUCACCCUGCCUGCAGAAAGCCCGAGCCGUCGGCAAACCUCUUCAACGUCUACGGGAAGAGCCCCCUGAUCGUCUACUUCAUCCACCGCUACCUCACCCUGCCGCAGGCCGGCCAGGACGUGUUCGUAGUGAGGAGGGAAAAUACCACGGUCAUCCCAUAUCCUUAUGGCUGUAGGCAGGGCACAGGUUGCUCCAGGCAACC
rnacentral:lncRNA from 1 species